CGAUACUGCUAGACUNGAGUAAUGGAGAGGCAGGUGGAAUUCUCGGUGUAGCAGUGAAAUGCGUGGAUAUCGAGAGGAAGACCAAUGGCGAAGGCAGCCUGCUGGACAUUUACUGACGCUGAGAUACGAAGGCUAGGGUAGCGAAAGGGAUUAGAUACCCCUGUAGUCCUAGCAGUAAACGGUGCGCGCUUGGUGUAGGAGGACUCGACCCCUUCUGUGCCGGAGCUAACGCGUUAAGCGCGCCGCCUGGGGAGUACGGUCGCAAGACUAAAACUCAAAGAAAUUGACGGGGACCCGCACAAGCGGUGGAGUAUGUGGCUUAAUUCGAUGCAACGCGAAGAACCUUACCAAGGCUUGACAUGUAUUGCUAAGCACGUGAAAGCGUGGGACCCUUCGGGGACCUUACACAGGUGCUGCAUGGCCGUCGUCAGCUCGUGUCGUGAGAUGUUUGGUUAAGUCCAGCAACGAGCGCAACCCCUGUGAAUAGUUGCCAGCACGUAAUGGUGGGGACUCUAUUCAGACUGCCCGGGUCAACCGGGAGGAAGGUGGGGAUGACGUCAGGUCAGUAUGGCCCUUACGCCUUGGGCUGCACACGUACUACAAUGCUCAGUACAAUGAGAACCGAUCCCGCGAGGAGGAGGAAAUCUAAAAAACUGGGCCCAGUUCGGAUUGGAGGCUGCAACUCGCCUCCAUGAAGUUGGAAUCGCUAGUAAUGGCACAUCAGCUACGGUGCCGUGAAUACGUUCCCGGGUCUUGUACACACCGCCCGUCACAUCAUGGAAUUCGGUCGCACCCGAAGUAUCUGCGCUAACUAUUUAUAGAAGCAAGGUCCUAAGGUGUAGCUGGUAACUGGGAUGAAGUCGUAACAAGGUAAC
rnacentral:rRNA from 1 species